UACGGGGGGGGUAAGCGUUGUUCGGAAUUACUGGGCGUAAAGGGCUCGUAGGCGGCCAACUAAGUCGGACGUGAAAUCCCUCAGCUUAACCGGGGAACUGCAUCUGAUACUGGAUUGCUUGAGUUCGGGAGAGGGAUGCGGAAUUCCAGGUGUAGCGGUGAAAUGCGUAGAUAUCUGGAGGAACACCGGUGGCGAAGGCGGCAUCCUGGACCGGUAUUGACGCUGAGGCGCGAAAGCCAGGGGAGCAAACGGG
rnacentral:rRNA from 1 species